rnacentral:rRNA from 1 species
AGAGUUUGAUCCUGGCUCAGAUUGAACGCUGGCGGCAUGCUUACACAUGCAAGUCGAACGGUAACAGGUCUUCGGAUGCUGACGAGUGGCGAACGGGUGAGUAAUACAUCGGAACGUGCCCGAUCGUGGGGGAUAACGCAGCGAAAGCUGUGCUAAUACCGCAUACGAUCUACGGAUGAAAGCGGGGGAUCGCAAGACCUCGCGCGGACGGAGCGGCCGAUGGCAGAUUAGGUAGUUGGUGGGAUAAAAGCUUACCAAGCCGACGAUCUGUAGCUGGUCUGAGAGGACGACCAGCCACACUGGGACUGAGACACGGCCCAGACUCCUACGGGAGGCAGCAGUGGGGAAUUUUGGACAAUGGGCGCAAGCCUGAUCCAGCCAUGCCGCGUGCAGGAUGAAGGCCUUCGGGUUGUAAACUGCUUUUGUACGGAACGAAAAAGUUCUCUCUAAUACAGGGGGCGAAUGACGGUACCGUAAGAAUAAGCACCGGCUAACUACGUGCCAGCAGCCGCGGUAAUACGUAGGGUGCGAGCGUUAAUCGGAAUUACUGGGCGUAAAGCGUGCGCAGGCGGUUAUAUAAGACAGAUGUGAAAUCCCCGGGCUCAACCUGGGAACUGCAUUAGUGACUGUAUAGCUAGAGUGCGGCAGAGGGGGAUGGAAUUCCGCGUGUAGCAGUGAAAUGCGUAGAUAUGCGGAGGAACACCGAUGGCGAAGGCAAUCCCCUGGGCCUGCACUGACGCUCAUGCACGAAAGCGUGGGGAGCAAACAGGAUUAGAUACCCUGGUAGUCCACGCCCUAAACGAUGUCAACUGGUUGUUGGGCCUUCACUGGCUCAGUAACGAAGCUAACGCGUGAAGUUGACCGCCUGGGGAGUACGGCCGCAAGGUUAAAACUCAAAGGAAUUGACGG